rnacentral:rRNA from 1 species
GACGAACGCUGGCGGCGUGCUUAACACAUGCAAGUCGAACGGAAAGGCCCCUUUGGGGGUACUCGAGUGGCGAACGGGUGAGUAACACGUGAGUAACCUGCCCUUGACUUCGGGAUAACUUCAGGAAACUGGGGCUAAUACCGGAUAGGAAUCCUUGCUGCAUGGUGGGGGUUGGAAAGCUUCGGCGGUUUUGGAUGGACUCGCGGCUUAUCAGCUUGUUGGUGGGGUAGUGGCUUACCAAGGCUUUGACGGGUAGCCGGCCUGAGAGGGCGACCGGCCACAUUGGGACUGAGAUAUGGGCCAGACUCCUACGGGAGGCAGCAGUGGGGAAUAUUGCACAAUGGGCGGAAGCCUGAUGCAACAACGCCGCGUGCGGGAUGACGGCCUUCGGGUUGUAAACCGCUUUCAGCAGGGGCGAAGCUUGUGGUGACGGUACCUGCAGAAGAAGCACCGGCUAACUACGUG